UACGUAGGGUGCGAGCGUUGUCCGGAAUUAUUGGGCGUAAAGAGCUUGUAGGCGGUUUGUCGCGUCUGCUGUGAAAUUUCGGGGCUCAACCCCGAACUUGCAGUGGGUACGGGCAGACUAGAGUGUGGUAGGGGAGACUGGAAUUCCUGGUGUAGCGGUGAAAUGCGCAGAUAUCGGGAGGAACACCAGUGGCGAAGGCGGCUAUCUGGACAACAACUGACACUGAGGCACGAAAGCGUGGGGAGCAAACAGG
rnacentral:rRNA from 1 species